rnacentral:rRNA from 1 species
AUACGGAGGGUCCAAGCGUUAUCCGGAAUCAUUGGGUUUAAAGGGUCCGUAGGCGGAUAAUUAAGUCAGAGGUGAAAUCCCACAGCUCAACUGUGGAACUGCCUUUGAUACUGGUUAUCUUGAGUUAUAGUGAAGUAGAUAGAAUAUGUAGUGUAGCGGUGAAAUGCAUAGAUAUUACAUAGAAUACCGAUUGCGAAGGCAGUCUACUAACUAUAUACUGACGCUGAUGGACGAAAGCGUGGGGAGCGAACAGGAUUAGAAACCCUAGUAGUCC